rfam:Bdellovibrionales bacterium GWA1_52_35 gwa1_scaffold_67, whole genome shotgun sequence.
UCGGGCGUAGCUCAGUGGCAGAGCACCACCUUGACACGGUGGGGGUCGUUGGUUCAACCCCAAUCGCCCGAA